AGCGAACGCUGGCGGCAGGCUUAACACAUGCAAGUCGAGCGGGCACUUCGGUGUCAGCGGCAGACGGGUGAGUAACACGUGGGAACGUACCCUUCGGUUCGGAAUAACGCUGGGAAACUAGCGCUAAUACCGGAUACGCCCUUUUGGGGAAAGGUUUACUGCCGAAGGAUCGGCCCGCGUCUGAUUAGCUAGUUGGUGGGGUAAUGGCCUACCAAGGCGACGAUCAGUAGCUGGUCUGAGAGGAUGAUCAGCCACACUGGGACUGAGACACGGCCCAGACUCCUACGGGAAGGAGCAGUGGGGAAUAUUGGACAAGGGGCGCAAGCCUGAUCCAGCCAUGCCGCGUGAGUGAUGAAGGCCUUAGGGUUGUAAAGCUCUUUUGUCCGGGACGAUAAUGACGGUACCGGAAGAAUAAGCCCCGGCUAACUUCGUG
rnacentral:rRNA from 1 species